rnacentral:rRNA from 1 species
UACGUAGGUGGCAAGCGUUGUCCGGAUUUAUUGGGCGUAAAGCGCGCGCAGGUGGUUCGUUGCGUCCGAGGUGAAAUCUCCCGGCUCAACUGGGAGGGGUCUUCGGAUACGGGCGGACUUGAGGAGAGCAGAGGUAGGCGGAAUGCUGGGUGUAGUGGUGAAAUGCGUAGAUAUCCAGCGGAACACCAGUGGCGAAGGCGGCCUACUGGGCUCCACCUGACACUGAGGCGCGAAAGCGUGGGGAGCGAACCGGAUUAGAUACCCGGGUAGUCCACGCCGUAAACGAUGGGCACUAGGUGUGAGGGGUAUUGACCCCCUUCGUGCCGUAGCUAACGCGUUAAGUGCCCCGCCUGGGGAGUACGGCCGCAAGGCUAAA